rnacentral:rRNA from 1 species
UACAGAGGUCCCGAGCGUUGUUCGGAUUCAUUGGGCGUAAAGGGUGCGUAGGCGGUUUGCUAAGUUUGAUGUGAAAUUCCGGGGCUCAACCCUGGCAUGGCAUUGAAUACUGGCGGACUAGAGUACUGGAGAGGAAACUGGAAUUUACGGUGUAGCAGUGAAAUGCGUAGAGAUCGUAAGGAAGACCAGUGGCGAAGGCGAGUUUCUGGACAGUAACUGACGCUGAGGCACGAAGGCCAGGGGAGCAAACGGG